rnacentral:rRNA from 1 species
CCCUUAGAUGUUCUGGGCCGCACGCGCGCUACACUGAUGAAUUCAACGAGCUCCUAACCUAGGCUGAAGGGUCCGGGUAAUCUUUGAAAUUUCAUCGUGAUGGGGAUAGAUUAUUGCAAUUAUUAAUCUUCAACGAGGAAUUCCUAGUAAGCGCGAGUCAUCAGCUCGCGUUGAUUACGUCCCUGCCCUUUGUACACACCGCCCGUCGCUCCUACCGAUUGAAUGGUCCGGUGAAAUGUUCGGACCGCGACAAGGCGGACGGUUCGCUGUCAGCUUUGCUGCGGGAAGUUCAUUAAACCUUAUCAUUUAGAGGAAGGAGAAGUCGUAACA